rnacentral:rRNA from 1 species
CGGACGGGUGAGUAAUGUCUGGGAAACUGCCUGAUGGAGGGGGAUAACUACUGGAAACGGUAGCUAAUACCGCAUAACGUCGCAAGACCAAAGAGGGGGACCUUCGGGCCUCUUGCCAUCGGAUGUGCCCAGAUGGGAUUAGCUAGUAGGUAAGGUAACGGCUUACCUAGGCGACGAUCCCUAGCUGGUCUGAGAGGAUGAUCAGCCACACUGGGACUGAGACACGGCCCAG